UUCACUGGGUGCGUUUAGACCUGUUCAUAUUGCUCAGCUGUGUCUGAAUCAUACUGGGAUGUCUGUUUUCCAAGUUGUGUCUUUUUAACCUGUAGUGUCUUUAUAAGUCUUAGUUCUGUCUGCCGCAGUCUUGGAUCUAUCCCGAACUCCCUGCGUGUGUACACUGAUCUGUGACGUCUCGCCUCUUCUGGGAUGUAUCCGUAUUCCCCAGAUGUGUCCAGUCUUACCUGGGAUUGCCCUGUCCAGGUGUGUCUACUGUGAACAUGGAUCUCUCCCUCUUCCAGGUGUGACUGUCCUGACCUUUGGCGUCCUCCUAAUUCCUCAGAUGCAUUCACGAAUUCCUCAGGUGUUUCAACACUGAUCUACUAUCACUCCACAGAUCUCCAGGUCACAAACUUCAGCCUUUGUGUUUGGUUAUUGGAAGAUUAUUGUUGCCUUUCAGUGAUGAUGUAUUCCUGGAUUCUUCAUGUUCCUUGGACUUUGGCGUUGCCCUUCUGGCGUACAGAGUGGCGGACACAGCGUGUCUUUGUGAUUCCCUUCGGGUAAGAGAUGCUCUUAGCUGAUCCUGUUGGAUCUGGGCUUGCUCAGUCCUUGUGUACAUACCCCUGCUCCUUGCUUCCUGUCUUGUGGCAGAAUUCUUGAGCUUGUAUGUCUUCUCUGGUCAUAGGACUCACCUCGUUUCCUGGAAGGUGGUCCUGCAGACACCCGUGUGGUGCCUCCUCCACCACAGGGGGCAGCGCUGGGGAGGUGUGGGCUCAGGGCUCUAGGUGUUGGGGGGCCUCAGGAAAGGUUCUUCCAGAAGCUCAUGAUGGACUUGAAUGGCGAUCUUCUCACCUGCCUGUGUCCCUGGAGUCAUGGCCGUCCCUCAGUGCUCCAGGUGCUGCUGGAGGAGUUGGGGUCUCCUGCAGCCCCCAUAUGGAGCAGGUCAGCGUACACACACCACUCUCCCCACCCCCAGUCAGGGGCUCCCGCUGGUGGGGCCUGAACACAAGGCAGGAGGCCGGGAGCCACGCCCACACGGCCCGCAGGUCAAGGCGGGGAGGGAACAGGGUGGACACGCUAGAGUGUGGAUCAGG